rnacentral:lncRNA from 1 species
CUGUUUAGGUAUUCUCUUCGCCAAAAAUUAAAAAUUAAAAACAAAAUAAAUUACUCACUCCACCCGACAAUAUAUAUUUGUGAAUUUGUUUCUUCAAAACAAAAUCAUUUAUUUCUUUAAUAAUAACAAAAAUAACACCACAUUUUCAAGUUUACGUUACAAUUUCAGCAACUUUUAAAUUAAAUAUUCAAUAAAUUUAAAGAUAACACAUGGUAAGAAUAUAUAUUCUUAAAUUUUACUACAUUCACUCACAUUAAAACAAGAUAUAAUCUGUAAGGAGGAUCAUCAUUCAUUCGGUAAUUAUUAAAUCAAUUCAACCAUUAUCAAAGUUCUAUCAGCUUGCCGCCAACCAUUAUCAAAGUGCUAUCGACUUGUCGCGUACUUGUGGGACUCGUCUAAUGGAUCUGUGUUGACUGACAUAACAUGAUUCAUAGUACUCAGAUCUUAAGGGCGCACCCGAUACUCCCUCGCAUCAAUUUGGUACAUUCACAAAAUUUCUCCCAAGUGUUGGCCCCAAAAUUCCAACUUUAAAAAUAACUCCUUAAUCAUAAGGUCAACCCUCUCACAUAUAAAUGACUAUCGAAUGGUCACAAAAUUGAGUUUGUCCUCUGAAUUUUGAUUACAUUUAUCAUAAAAUUGACUUAGCAUAGGAAAAAACAAGUUAUUUAAUAUAUGCACAUGUUCCAUUCAGAGCUAGAAAGAUCCAUAUGUCUAAGCAAUAAUAGAGCUAAAAUUAGGAAUAUAUAAAUGAGAGAACUUCAUAGUGGUACAGAAGUGGGUUAGAUUUUAAUUUAAUUUGGAAUGGAGAGAGUAUUAAAUAGGAACAAUUACAUUUUAUAGUACAUUUAAAAACAUAAUUACAAGAAAAGUGCACUCAUUAAAUAUUUAUACAAUUAAUAUCUUUAAAAUUUUAUUUUCAUUAUUAGAACAUAUUUAUGCUUCCUUUAAUUAUGGGAUGUGUUUUAAUUUCCUGAUGACAUGACAAUUCAAUUUUCCACGAUUUUCUCCCACUCCAUUUCUGUUUCCCUUCUUCUUCUCCUCCCUCCCUCCGCCUCCUCCUUCUCCUCCUCCUCCUCCUCC